UACCUUUGUAAAUAAGAGCUAUAUAUCUCGAAGACUGUAUCCAGCCUUGUAUCAACGAUGCUUCCGUAGCCUGAUAGUAUACAGUUAAGAUACUUUCUAAAGACGUUCAACUCUCACAUACAGCCAUUUAAAAAUUUUUAUAUACUUGCAAAAGUAAUGAAAAUAAAUGGUUUAUUGAUUCAUAAGUAGCAAAAGCUGGAAAACAAGGUGUUUUAAAUAUUAAUAGUAAAUUGUUAUCGAUCGCAAAGAUAGUAUCUGCUAUUAAUCGAGUUUGGAAAAGGAUACAGUUACCACAGUUUCACCCGACACAAAUUUUGACUGGACUAUCGCUAAUGGUUCGGAUGACAUUUUCACUACACGCUUAUUCUCGAUUGUUUACUAUAUACGAGUAGUUAAUAGAUCAAUUAAAACAUAACUACCUCAAAUAAUGUACAAUUUCAUGUAUAUUUAUUAUACUUUUUAUGUCAAAAACUUAUAAUAAAAAUAAGGAAGAGAACACUUAA